rnacentral:tRNA from 1 species
GGCGUCGUGGCGAAGUAGCAAACGCAGGAGUCUGCAAAACUCCCAUACGUGGGUGCAAGUCCCACCGACGCCU